UUGCGNAUGGGGGAACCCUGACGCAGCAACGCCGCGUGAGUGAUGAAGGCCUUCGGGUCGUAAAGCUCUGUCAGAUGGGAAGAAGGUUCCGGCGAUGAAUAAGCGCUGGAAUUGACGGUACCGUUAAAGGAAGCACCGGCUAACUCCGUGCCAGCAGCCGCGGUAAUACGGAGGGUGCAAGCGUUGUUCGGAAUUAUUGGGCGUAAAGAGCGUGUAGGCGGCCUGGUAAGUCAGAUGUGAAAGCCCUUGGCUUAACCAAGGAAGGGCAUUUGAAACUGCUUGGCUUGAGUACGGGAGGGGGAAGCGGAAUUCCCGGUGUAGAGGUGAAAUUCGUAGAUAUCGGGAGGAACACCGGUGGCGAAGGCGGCUUCCUGGACCGAUACUGACGCUGAGACGCGAAAGCGUGGGGAGCAAACAGGAUUAGAUACCCUGGUAGUCCACGCCAUAAACGUUGGGCACUAGGUGUUGCGGGUAUUGACCCCUGCAGUGCCGAAGCUAACGCAUUAAGUGCCCCGCCUGGGGAGUACGGUCGCAAGGCUAAAACUCAAAAAAAUUGACGGA
rnacentral:rRNA from 1 species